UACAGAGGUCUCAAGCGUUGUUCGGAUUCAUUGGGCGUAAAGGGUGUGUAGGUGGCGCCGUAAGUCGGGUGUGAAAUUUCGGAGCUUAACUCCGAAACUGCAUUCGAUACUGCGGUGCUUGAGGACUGGAGAGGAGACUGGAAUUCAUGGUGUAGCAGUGAAAUGCGUAGAGAUCAUGAGGAAGACCAGUGGCGAAGGCGGGUCUCUGGACUGCAACUGACACUGAAAAACGAAAGCCAGGGGAGCAAACGGG
rnacentral:rRNA from 1 species